AUUGAACGCUGGCGGCAUGCUUUACACAUGCAAGUCGGACGGCAGCACAGAGGAGCUUGCUUCUUGGGUGGCGAGUGGCGAACGGGUGAGUAACGCAUCGGAACGUACCGAGUAAUGGGGGAUAACUGUCCGAAAGGACAGCUAAUACCGCAUACGCCCUGAGGGGGAAAGCGGGGGAUCUUAGGACCUCGCGUUAUUCGAGCGGCCGAUGUCUGAUUAGCUGGUUGGCGGGGUAAAGGCCCACCAAGGCGACGAUCAGUAGCGGGUCUGAGAGGAUGAUCCGCCACACUGGGACUGAGACACGGCCCAGACUCCUACGGGAGGCAGCAGUGGGGAAUUUUGGACAAUGGGCGCAAGCCUGAUCCAGCCAUGCCGCGUGUCUGAAGAAGGCCUUUGGGUUGUAAAGGACUUUUGUCAGGGAAGAAAAGGGGCAUGUUAAUACCGUGCUCUGAUGACGGUACCUGAAGAAUAAGCACCGGCUAACUACGUG
rnacentral:rRNA from 1 species